rnacentral:tRNA from 1 species
UAGCACAGUGGUAGUGUAUUCGGCCCGUGACCGAGAGGUCGCCGGUUCGAAUCCGCC